rnacentral:rRNA from 1 species
GCAAGUCGAGCGGUAAGGCCCUUCGGGGUACACGAGCGGCGAACGGGUGAGUAACACGUGAGCAAUCUGCCCUUCACAUCGGGAUAACCCCCGGAAACGGGAGCUAAUACCGGAUACGACCACUUCAGGCAUCUGAUGGUGGUGGAAAGUUCUGGCGGUGAAGGAUGAGCUCGCGGCCUAUCAGCUUGUUGGUGAGGUAAUGGCCCACCAAGGCUUCGACGGGUAGCCGGCCUGAGAGGGUGACC